CACACAGAAACAAGCUUAGUUUGUGUCUGGAAAGAUGGGGGCGUUAUAAAAAAAGGUUCCUCAGAACAUUCUUGGAAGAACAAGAACCAGCCUGCACAUUCUGGUGGUCGUCAUAGCAACAGGGCAGCAUCCCUCUCCAUCCUUUGUCCAGUGUCUCCCCGUCGUUUGAGCUUCCCAGGCGGAAGAUGCAUGCAAAUUGAAGCCCCCCUGAUUGAGCUUCGAAGCAAGGAAGUGAAGGGGAGCUGAAACGAUGAGUGAAUGUCAUUAUAAACUCAGCACAUCCUGCUAUGGCAUUUAACACUCGAGUGUAAGAGCUGAACACAAAAGAUCCAUACAGUUUUCUGUCAGAUAUCUAGAUGGGAAAAUCUGUUGGAGGGAGAACGGGAUGCCUUUGGUUAUGUUUUGACUAUCCACAUGGUCAUUGAGACACAAACAAGUAUAUGCACAGAUGGGAUGAGUGGAUAGGUUGAGGAAAAUAACAUUAUGUCCCUUUUUGCCACUGGGAAAGCAGGUAGUUUUCCUGGGAAUACUGGGCUGUAAAGCAGUGUGUUUUUGGUUAGCGGGAGUUAGUGAGAUUGCAGAUUUGCCCUUGGUAGUCAUUGAUUGAUUUGGAAGUGUAUUCUAUUUAAAGUAUAAAAGCAUUGCUAUGAUGGUGCUUGAUUCAAACUCAAACAAACGUGAUGAACCUGGAGGACACAUAACAAAGUUUAAGGGGUGGUGAGGUUUCAGAUUUUUGGCUUAUGAAGCAAAACACCCAGACAAAAACAAAGUUAGAGUACAUGUGUUGGCUUCAGGCCAGCCAACCUCCUCUGAAACAAGAUUAAACCUCCCUUUAACUUUAUGAUUGGUCAACAGGUUCCCGGCAAAGCCAAUCAGGAACUGAAUAACGUGCAGUCGUGAGGCAGACAGGAUGUAGGGGAAAGGUCUCAGAGCAAACUUUUGGUUGCCCUUCCCCCGAGUGUGAGUAGAACACCAGAAGCAAAUGUUUAUGUCCCGUGAAAUGAGGAUGCGUUCUUGUGAAGUGCGGUGGAAUAGCCUCGCCUUUCUGUCAGUAGGGUAACAAAGAAUCCCUUUACCAAGGUUUUAUUUUUGACAUUCUGACUCCAUCUCCUUGACCUAAAUAAUGCUGAUCUGGCACAAAUGUCUGCAAAUCUUGGUCACAGAGCUAACAGUAUGUUUAGGAUCUGCUAAGAUGCUCUUUGUCUAGGAAAUGUUUGAAUAAUGUUGUACCGGUAGUUACAUUUUCCCUGUAUUUGCACGAGUCAGAAAUGUAAUUUCUAAUUUUACAUAUAUUCUGUCUUGACAUCCUAUUUUUUUGUGAACAUUGACCCCUAAAUCAAGGUCCCAUUCAGCUGUGAAAUAACUGCUAACUUAAAAUAAAUGUGUUUUUGACAUAUCAACUUUCUUAUGUGGUUUGUUUGGUUAAUAACAGGAUUCAGACAGGUAAAGGUUUGUUCUCCACAACAGUCAGAGGUGCUGUGUAGUUUACAACACAUCACUUCUGGGAAUAUUGGCUUCGGGCUGUUUUUCCAGUGAAUGUCUCGUGAGUACACCAGUUUACAGCUCCGGCCCACAGGCUCCCACCAGCAAGAACAAAGCUGCCGUUGAGCUCCUGCCAAGAUAUGAGCCUGACUGACACUUCAGAACAUUUGGCAAGGAAAAGGCUCUACUUAAGUUAGGGUUAGGUGUUUUACCGAGUUAUUGUUUACUGCCGGCAGGAAAUUUAUAUCACCAGAUGGUUAAACAGCUUUUUCAAGUCUGGGCAUUCAACUAGAAACCAGCUACAACUGUUCCUGCGGCCAAUUACACAUUUGCUGUUACAUUAAAUUAGGGUGAGAACUACCCAGAGUUUUAUAGGAUAUCUGCUCAAUCAUUAUUAAAUCUUGUGUUUAAAAAGCUUGGAGCUUCAGAUUCCUAAGAUUUGAUCUCCAGUUUAGCAUUAAGCUGGGAAACAGCUAGCCUGGCUCUCUCUGGAGGAAUGUGUUGAUCAGUAAACAUAAGUGUUGUUUCCCUGUCUUUUUUUCCAAGCCAACAAGCUGCUAGCUGUAGCAUUAGAUUUAUCACAGUGGUAUUGCUCUUCUCCAUUGCUUGUAAAGUGAAGUAUUUGGCAAAACGUUACCUUUUAGUCAAGAGUCACAGAGCCAUGUUGUGAUAAAAUAAAAGUUUUAAAUGUUUCAAUAAAAAACACCAGGUCCAGUAAACAUGAUGUUUUACCAAAUCAGGUGCAUUACAAUAUCUCAGUUAACAAAAGGAUAAAACUCCUUGAGGAAAUCUACAAAUGGCAUUAUGGACAGAUCCACCACAUUUGAACAACAAACGUCUGGGUACAGAGUCUACAGACAUCUACAAAGUGUACCUUACAAGUUGACCCAGUGUGUCAAAAUCUGGAUACAUCAAAAACAUUGCCAUUUAAAAAUAGACACUUCAUAAA